rnacentral:rRNA from 2 species
CUGCCUGUAAGAUGGGGAUAACUCCGGGAAACCGGAGCUAAUACCGAAUAACACUUUCGCUCGCAUGAGCGGAUGUUAAAAGACGGUUUCGGCUGUCACUUACAGAUGGACCCGCGGCGCAUUAGCUAGUUGGUGAGGUAACGGCUCACCAAGGCGACGAUGCGUAGCCGACCUGAGAGGGUGAUCGGCCACACUGGGACUGAAACACGGUCCAGACUCCUACGGGAGGCAGCAGUAGGGAAUCUUCCGCAAUGGACGAAAGUCUGACGGAGCAUAGCCGCGUGAGUGAUGAAGGUUUUCGGAUCGUAAAACUCUGUUGUUAGGGAAGAACAAGUAUGAGAGUAACUGCUCGUACCUUGACGGUACCUAACCAGAAAGCCACGGCUAACUACGUGCCAGCAGCCGCGGUAAUACGUAGGUGGCAAGCGUUGUCCGGAAUUAUUGGGCGUAAAGCGCGCGCAGGCGGUUCCUUAAGUCUGAUGUGAAAGCCCACGGCUCAUCCGUGGAGGGUCAUUGGAAACUGGGGAACUUGAGUGCAGAAGAGGAAAGCGGAAUUCCACGUGUAGCGGUGAAAUGCGUAGAGAUGUGGAGGAACACCAGUGGCGAAGGCGGCAUUCUGGUCUGUAACUGACGCUGAGGCGCG